GAUGAAGAACGCAGCGAAAUGCGAUAAGUAGUGUGAAUUGCAGAAUUCAGUGAAUCAUCGAAUCUUUGAACGCACAUUGCGCCCUUUGGUAUUCCAAAGGGCAUGCCUGUUCGAGCGUCAUUUGUACCCUCAAGCUUUGCUUGGUGUUGGGCGUCUUGUCUCUAGCUUUGCUGGAGACUCGCCUUAAAGUAAUUGGCAGCCGGCCUACUGGUUUCGGAGCGCAGCACAAGUCGCACUCUCUAUCAGCAAAGGUCUAGCAUCCAUUAAGCCUUUUUUUCAACUUUUGACCUCGGAUCAGGUAGGGAUACCCGCUGAACUUAAGCAUAUCAAUAACGGAGGA
rnacentral:misc_RNA from 1 species